GAGGCAGGAGAGACUCCUGCCACUGCUGCUGCGCUCGCCUGCUGUGACCCCACGGAUGCACGAUUGGAACUGGGGAGGGACAUGGGAGGUUGGCCAGUGGGAAGGGUGUGCGGGAGGGCUCCAGGGCGUGUCCAGCCCAUCUCACUCAGUCCCAGUCAGCCAGACCCCAGCAGCAAGCUAACCUACUGGUUGGAGCAUCUGCCCCCUGGUGGUCAGUGCACAUCAUAGCAAGCAGUUGAUCAGCCUUAGCAUAUCAUUAGCCUAUUACGCUUUGAUUUGUUGAAUGGCCAAUUGGACCAGACACAUAGCAUAUUAGGCUUUUAUUAUAUAGGAUGAUAUAGAUAUGAAUGAGUAAUUAAAUAUCAAACUAUGGUCAACCUCAUUAAUUAUUAGGGAAGUGCCACUCAAAACUACAAUGAGAUACCACAUCACACAGUAGGAGAGCUAAAAUAAUAACUAUUUUAGGUGAGUAUGUGGACACACUGGAACUCACAUUGCUGGUGGAAUUGUGAAAUAUUGCAGGCACUUUAGAAAACAGUCUGGAAAUUCCUCAAAAUGUUCAACAAGGAUUUAUUAUAUGACCCAGCAGCUGCAUUCAGUAUAUCAGUUGAACUACUGUAAAAAAAUACUAUAAACUGGGUAUGUUAUAUACAACAAGAAUGUUUUCCUCAGCAGGAGGCUGGAGGUUCAAGAUGAAGGUGCCCACAAAUCUGGUGUGUGGCAAGGGCCCACCUUCUGAUUCAGGGCCAGCCCUUCUUGCUGUUUUCUCACAUGGUGGGAAGGGAAGGGAGUUUUUCUCAGGCCUGUUAUAAGGGCACUAAUCCCAUUUAUGAGCCUUCAUGACCUAAUCACCUCCCAAAGGCCAUACCUCCUAAUUACUAUCACCUUAGGGGGCAGGAUUUCAACGUAAGAAUUUUAGAGAGACAUAAUCAGACCGUGGUAGUAUAUAUCCAAGAUAAAUGAAACCUAUUUCCACACAAAAACGUGGGCAUGAAUGUUCAUAGCAGAAUUAUUCAGAAUAGCCAGAACCCGAAAAUCCAUCAACUGAUGAACAACAAAAUGUGGCACAAACAUGUAACAAAAUAUUAUUCAGCAAUAAAAAGAAAUGAAGUACUGAUACAUACUACAGAAUGAAUGAACCUUAAAAACAUAAUGCUUAAGGGUCUAUUCACAAAAGCUCACAUUUUGUAUGAUUCCAUGCAUAUGAAAUGUCCAAAAUAGGCAGAGAAAGUAGACUAAUGGUACCCCGGGCUGGGAGGAGAGGAGAAGCAGAGUAGAGGCUAAUGGCUACAGGGUUUCUAUUUGAGGUGAUAAAAUGUUUUUAGAGAAUGGUGACGGUCACACAACUGUGAAUAUCCUGAAAACUUCUGACUUAUACACUUUUUAAACGCGUUUAUACGGUAUGUGAAUUUUAUCUCAAUGAAGCACUUAUAAAAAUGACUUGUGAUGAAACCAAGAAAGAGGCUGAGGGGUAGUGCUGGUUAGUUGUGGGGCUGAAAUAAAAUAUUGUGAUCUGUUCAUUUCUUGCCUAUGCAGGUGCUCCUUCCAUGCACUCCUCCAAUUCCUUCAGAGCAUCUUGAGACUGAUUUCUACAGAAAAUAUUCUGCCCAUCACCAGAAAGUCUAGUUCAGCUGCAAGAUGCUGAUGAUACAAAAAGCAUACAGAAAAUGAGGGAUGCAAGAUGCCUUUCUUCUGGCUCACACCAGCUCCAGGCAAACCCUCCCCAAGAAAGAUGGCAGACAGAAUAACCUCUGCUAUUUACCUUAUUCUUCUUUUUACUUCUUUCAGUGUACAGAUAAAUACACAUAAAUUAAAGGCCCAAAUGCUGUGA